rnacentral:rRNA from 1 species
GCUUACGGCCAUACCAGCCUGGGUACGCCCGAUCUCGUCUGAUCUCGGAAGCUAAGCAGGGUAGGGCCUGGUUAGUACUUGGAUGGGAGACCGCCUGGGAAUACCAGGUGCUGUAAGCA